AUGUUGGAUCUCGCUGCGCCCAGAGGCCUCUCCGCGCCUGGCAAUGUUGUGGGCCUAGCUUUCGUCUUCGUGGCCGUCGUCGCGGUCGUGGCUAUCGCCGUGUUCAGCUGCGCCGAUGGCCCGGACAGGUCCGGUGUGAAGCCUAGACGCCGCCGGCGCCACUGGGGCGGCGGUGGCGGGGGAGGAGGGGGAGGCUGCGGAGGAGGUGGUGGCUGCGGGGGUGGAGGCUGUUAA
rnacentral:rRNA from 1 species